CACGUAGGGCGCAAGCGUUUGUCCGGAUUUAUUGGGCGUAAAGAGCUCGUAGGCGGCUCAGUAAAGUCAGGUGUGAAAAACUCCAGGCUCAACCCUGGAGACGCACCUGAUACUGCUGUGGCUAGAGUCCGGUAGGGGGAGCAUGGAAUUCCUGGUGUAGCGGUGAAAAUGCGCAGAUAUCAGGGAGGGAAACACCCAGUGGGCGGAAAAGGGCGGG
rnacentral:rRNA from 1 species